UACGUAGGGGGCAAGCGUUGUCCGGAAUCAUUGGGCGUAAAGAGCGUGUAGGCGGCCAGAAAAGUCCGCUGUGAAAACUCGAGGCUCAACUUCGAGCUGUCGGUGGAAACUUUCUGGCUAGAGUCCGGAAGAGGAGAAUGGAAUUCCUGGUGUAGCGGUGAAAUGCGCAGGUAUCAGGAAGAACACCCGUGGCGAAGGCGGUUCUCUGGGACGGUACUGACGCUGAGACGCGAAAGCGUGGGGAGCGAACAGG
rnacentral:rRNA from 1 species